rnacentral:lncRNA from 1 species
CAGGUGUAUUAGUCAGCUUUUUCAUCACAAUUUAAACAAUAGAACACACAAUUUAAAGCAAGAGAGUUUAAUUUGCCUCACAGUUUCAGGGAAUUCAGUUCAUGGUUAGCUGACACCAAAGCAGAAACGCCGUGGUAAGAGGUGUGGUAGAACAAAGUUUCUCACUGAAUGGUGACCAGGAAGCAACUAGGAGAGCCACACCAGAGAGGGAGGAAUAGAGAACCGGAUCUAGACCUCAGGUAACACUGCCAUGGUUCACCCAGGUACACCCAGGCUCAUGUUCCACCACUGUCCUGAGGACUCCCAAGCCAAUCAAGUUGACACAAUCAAGCUUGUCCAUCACAACAGUUUGGUAAGAUGUCUGUAAUUCACCCUGAAGAGCUGGUACUAGAUUGCAAGGUGCCUUCACAUCUACUCAGAACAAUGUGUAACUACUGUGGACUGCUAUUGGAUACAGGCCACAAGAUCGUUCUAGACAAAGUGGUGAGAGAACUUUCAAAAGCCCAAAAUAUCACACAAGUUAAGCCUGCUCUUUUUUUUUUGAAAGGAUUCUUGGAAAUCCAACCCAGUAACACCUGCAGAGUUUUAGGGUGAAAACUUGAACUCUGGGCUUGGCCAUUUGUCCCAAAAUGGGCAGUGGUGGAGGGCAAGGAGAGAGCUUUAAUCAGCACGGUUGUGCUGGGCAGGAC